rnacentral:snoRNA from 1 species
AUUCCAUGAUGGGGACAUUCUAGGAUGUAGUCUUGGAAGCGCUCCCAUGCUUCUGGAACAGAUUCAUCAUGUUGUUGCUGAAAACUUGUAAUCUUCCCACAGAGAGC